AAUUUAUUGGCAGGUUUUUGGAUUAUCUUAUGGAAUCAAAGUUGGAUCUGAACAAUCAAGAGCACGGAAAGGGGAGGAACAGAGGAAAUUGCAAUAUCUGAUGUCUUAAUAUGCAAUAUGAAGUGUUCCUUCAAGUAUUUUCUCAAGAAGCAGAAGAGGAUGAGGAAAUUACAGACAGCUCUUGACUGCAGACCACCCGUUGAAAGUCAAGCUGACAACCCCUCCACAGCUUUUCAUCAGUACUGCCAGAAGCAGUUUGCAAGACCCUCCUGGGAGAAGUGCCUUCCCUGUACGUGGAGGAAAAGAGCAGCCUUUUCUCUCAGAUGGAGAGAGAAGAAUCCAAAUCAACAGGCCUACUGAAUUUCUCC